CAGUCGCCGCGGUAAUACGAAGGGGGCAAGCGUUGUUCGGAAUUACUGGGCGUAAAGGGCGCGUAGGCGGUGUACUAAGUCAGGCGUGAAAGCCCUGGGCUCAACCCGGGAAUUGCGUUUGAUACUGGUACGCUUGAAUCCAGGAGAGGUUGGUGGAAUUCCCAGUGUAGAGGUGAAAUUCGUAGAGAUUGGGAAGAACACCGGUGGCGAAGGCGGCCAACUGGACUGGUAUUGACGCUGAGGCGCGAAAGCGUGGGGAGCAAACAGGAUUAGAUACCCCCGUAGUCCCUGUCUCUUAUAC
rnacentral:rRNA from 1 species